rnacentral:rRNA from 1 species
UACGUGGGGGGCAAGCGUUGUUCGGAAUUACUGGGCGUAGAGGGCUCGUAGGUGGCCAACUAAGUCAGACGUGAAAUCCCUCGGCUUAACCGGGGAACUGCGUCUGAUACUGGAUGGCUUGAGUUUGGGAGAGGGACGCGGAAUUCCAGGUGUAGCGGUGAAAUGCGUAGAUAUCUGGAGGAACACCGGUGGCGAAGGCGGCGUCCUGGACCAACACUGACACUGAGGAGCGAAAGCCAGGGGAGCAAACGGG